rnacentral:rRNA from 1 species
UCAAGCUACUAAGGGCAUACGGUGAAUGCCUUGGCACUAAGAGCCGAUGAAGGACGUGGUAAGCUGCGAAAAGCUACGGGGAGCCGCAAGCAGGCUUUGAUCCGUAGAUGUCCGAAUGGGGAAACCCACCAUCCGUCAUGGGAUGGUAUCCUUCGGGAGGGGAACCCGGUGAACUGAAACAUCUAAGUAGCCGGAGGAAGAGAAAUCAAACGAGAUGCCCACAGUAGCGGCGAGCGAAGAGGGCAGAGCCUAAACCAGAGAGCUUCGGCUCCCUGGGGUUACGGACUGGCAUAAACCGAGUCAGGCCUAGCCGAAUCACCUGGAAAGGUGAGCCACAGACCGUGAGAGCCGGGUAGGCGAAAGGCAGAGCAAGGGGGCCAGUAUCCAGAGUACCGCGAAGCACGAGGAAUUUUGCGGGAAGUCGGGGGGACCACCCUCCAAGGCUAAACACUUCUUAGUGACCGAUAGCGCAUAGUACCGUGAGGGAAAGGUGAAAAGAACCGCGGGAGCGGAGUGAAAGAGAACCUGAAACCGUAUGUCUACAAGCAGUCGGAGCGCAAGCGACGGCGUGCCUAUUGAAGAAUGAGCCAACGAGUUACGGGCACCAGCGAGGUUAAGCAGGAAAUGCGGAGCCGUAGGGAAACCGAGUCUGAAAAGGGCGAAUAGUUGGUGUUCGUAGACCCGAAACUGUAGUGAUCUACCCAUGAUCAGGUUGAAGCACGGGUAAAAUCGUGUGGAGGACCGAACCGGUGAGUGUUGAAAAACUUUCGGAUGAAUCGUGGGUAGCGGUGAAAUUCCAAUCGAACGCAGAGAUAGCUGGUUCUCCUCGAAAUAGCUUUAGGGCUAGCCUCAGGCAGUAAGCAUAGGCGGUAGAGCACUGAUCGGGAUAGGGACUGUAAUGGUUACCGAACCCUGUCAAACUACGAAUGGUUAUGCUGCAGAGCCUGGGAGUCAGACUACGAGAGAUAAGUCCCGUUGUCAAAAGGGAAACAGCCCAGACCAUCAGCUAAGGUCCCCAAUGCCAUACUAAGUGGAAAAGGAUGUGGGGUCUCAUAAACAACCAGGAUGUUGGCUCAGAAGCAGCCACCAUUUAAAGAGUGCGUAAUAGCUCACUGGUCGAGAGGCCCUGCGCCGAAGAUUCCCGGGGCUAAAGUAUGGAACCGAAGCUAUGGAUGCAUACUUAGGUAUGCGUGGUAGAGGAGCGUUCCCAUCGGGUUGAAGUCGUCCUGUAAGGGACGGUGGACUGGUGGGAAGUGAGAAUGUUGGCAUGAGUAGCGAAAAGAAUGGUGAGAAUCCAUUCCACCGAAAGCAUAAGGAUUCCUGAGCAACGAUCGUCGUCUCAGGGUAAGUCGGGACCUAAUCCGAGGCAAAGAGCGUAGGAGAUGGACAACUGGUUGAUAUUCCAGUACCGGCAGUGAUCGUUUGAACGAAGGAGUGACGCAGGAAGGCAGGUCCGCACGAGAUUGGUAGAUCGUGUGCAAGCGUGCAGGCUGGUUACCAGGCAAAUCCGGUAACUGAGGCUGAGGCGUGAUGCGGAGGGAACUUGUUCCCGAAGGGAUUGAGCCUACGCUGCCGAGAAAAGCUUCUAGUGAGAAAGCUGCCGCCCGUACCGUAAACCGACACAGGUAUGCGGGGAGAGAAUCCUAAGGUGCGCGGGAGAACCCUCGUUAAGGAACUCGGCAAAAUGUACCCGUAACUUCGGGAUAAGGGUAGCCACAAAGGUGAAGGGACUUGCUCCCGGAGCCCGGUGUGGUCGCAGAGAAGAGGCCCAAGCGACUGUUAACCAGAAACACAGGUGCCUGCGAAAGAGAAAUCUGAAGUAUAGGUGCUGACACCUGCCCAGUGCUGGAAGGUUAAAGAAGGAUGUCCGGGUUCGACCCAAAGCAUUCGACUGAAGCCCCAGUGAACGGCGGCCGUAACUAUAACGGUCCUAAGGUAGCGAAAUUCCUUGUCGGGUAAGUUCCGAC